CAGCAGCCGCGGUAAUACAGAGGAUGCAAGCGUUAUCCGGAAUGAUUGGGCGUAAAGCGUCUGUAGGUGGCUUUUCAAGUCCGCCGUCAAAUCCCAGGGCUCAACCCUGGACAGGCGGUGGAAACUACCAAGCUGGAGUACGGUAGGGGCAGAGGGAAUUUCCAGUGGAGCGGUGAAAUGCGUUGAGAUCGAAAAGAACACCAACAGCGAAAGCACUCUGCUGGGACGACACUGACACUAAGAGACGAAAGCUAGGGGAGCAAAUGGGAUUAGAUACCCCAGUAGUCCCUGUCUCUUAUAC
rnacentral:rRNA from 1 species